rnacentral:rRNA from 1 species
UACGUAGGGAGCAAGCGUUGUCCGGAAUCAUUGGGUGUAAAGCGCGCGUAGGCGGCUUCGUAAGUCCGUUGUGAAAGUCAAAGGCUCAACCUUUGAAAGCCGAUGGAUACUGUGAAGCUAGAGUACGGAAGAGGCGAGCGGAAUUCCUGGUGUAGCGGUGGAAUGCGCAGAUAUCAGGAGGAACACCAAUAGCGAAGGCAGCUCGCUGGGACGUUACUGACACUGAGGCGCGAAAGCGUGGGGAGCGAACAGG